rnacentral:misc_RNA from 1 species
AAAAUUUUCUAUUUAUUUAAAACAACUCACACAUUUCAAAUUCAAGACAAGAAGAAGAUUAUUUCUCAACCCACUAUACAACAAUAGCAAUUAGUACAGAAACAAGAUGAAAUUAAAUAUUUACAUAUUGCAAAAUAAAUAAAUAAAAACAUAUCAGCUGCAAAAAUAGAUGUCUUUAGUUACAGACAUCUACACAAUGCCCCCAACGAAUAUGUAAGAGAGCCUUGUGACCAAAAUCCUAUUUUCUAAACAUACAAAAUCCAAGGUGUCCUUGAUCACAAUUAAGUUAACAAACCUCCGAGUUAGAAAGAACUCGGUUUUUAUUAUGCAAGGAUGGCUGUUUUAAAAAGAAGCCAGCAUUGAUGUCAUCUUCUGGAA